AUUGAACGCUGGCGGCAUGCCUUACACAUGCAAGUCGAACGGUAACAGGUCUUCGGAUGCUGACGAGUGGCGAACGGGCGAGUAAUACAUCGGAACGUGCCCGAUCGUGGGGGAUAACGAAGCGAAAGCUUUGCUAAUACCGCAUAAGAUCUACGGAUGAAAGCAGGGGACCGAAAGGCCUUGCGCGAACGGAGCGGCCGAUGGCAGAUUAGGUAGUUGGUGGGAUAAAAGCUUACCAAGCCGACGAUCUGUAGCUGGUCUGAGAGGACGACCAGCCACACUGGGACUGAGACACGGCCCAGACUCCUACGGGAGGCAGCAGUGGGGAAUUUUGGACAAUGGGCGAAAGCCUGAUCCAGCCAUGCCGCGUGCAGGAUGAAGGCCUUCGGGUUGUAAACUGCUUUUGUACGGAACGAAAAGACUCUUUCUAAUAAAGAGGGUCCAUGACGGUACCGUAAGAAUAAGCACCGGCUAACUACGUGCCAGCAGCCGCAGUAA
rnacentral:rRNA from 1 species